rnacentral:misc_RNA from 1 species
GAAACAACUCCAAGACAUGUAUUUGAGUAGGAAGUCCUUUGCUUUUGAUUGUGAUGCUCCUGGAGCUGGCAUGAUGGAGAAGAGAAAAGUUUUUGAGAUGGCGCUGAGCACAGCUGAUGCCACAUUCCAAAACCUUGACUCGUCCGAGAUCUCGCUGACCGAUGUCAGCCAUUACUUUGAUUCUGAUCCAACUAAUUUGGUUCAAGGUUUGAGAAAAGAUGGCAAGAAGCCUAAUGCCUACAUUGCCG